rnacentral:rRNA from 1 species
UCGUGCUCUAAGCGUAGUAACCAAAUUCUCGCUUCUGAAGCCGGCCCGGGUCCUGCCGUAAAACCCCCUAUAUUUUUCUGGUUGACCUCGGAUCAGGUAGGAAUACCCGCUGAACUUAAGCAUAUCAAUAAGCGGAGGAAAAGAAACCAACAGGGAUUGCCCUAGUAACGGCGAGUGAAGCGGCAACAGCUCAAAUUUGAAAUCUGGCCUUCGGGUCCGAGUUGUAAUUUGCAGAGGAUGCUUUUGGCGCGGUGCCUUCCGAGUUCCCUGGAACGGGACGCCUUAGAGGGUGAGAGCCCCGUACGGUUGGACACCAAGCCUCUGUAAAGCUCCUUCGACGAGUCGAGUAGUUUGGGAAUGCUGCUCUAAAUGGGAGGUAAAUUUCUUCUAAAGCUAAAUACCGGCCAGAGACCGAUAGCGCACAAGUAGAGUGAUCGAAAGAUGAAAAGCACUUUGAAAAGAGGGUUAAAUAGCACGUGAAAUUGUUGAAAGGGAAGCGUUUACGGCCAGACCUUUUCCUGGCGGAUCAUCUGGUGUUCUCACCAGUGCACUUCGCCAGGUUUAGGCCAGCAUCGGCUUCUGUAGGGGGAUAAAAGCAGUGGGAAAGUAGCUCCCUCGGGAGUGUUAUAGCCCUAAGCAUAAUACCCUUAC